CCUACGGGAGGCAGCAGUGAGGAAUAUUGGUCAAUGGACGAGAGUCUGAACCAGCCAAGUAGCGUGAAGGAUGACUGCCCUAUGGGUUGUAAACUUCUUUUAUAUGGGAAUAAAACGUUCCACGUGUGGGAUUUUGUAUGUACCAUAUGCAUAAGGAUCGGCUAACUACGUGCCAGCAGCCGCGGUAAUACGGAGGAUCCGAGCGUUAUCCGGAUUUAUUGGGUUUAAAGGGAGCGUAGGUGGAUUGUUAAGUCAGUUGUGAAAGUUUGCGGCUCAACCGUAAAAUUGCAGUUGAAACUGGCAGUCUUGAGUACAGUAGAGGUGGACGGAAUUCGUGGUGUAGCGGUGAAAUGCUUAGAUAUCACGAAGAACUCCGAUUGCGAAGGCAGUUCACUGGACUGCAACUGACACUGAGGCUCGAAAGUGUGGGUAUCAAACAGGAUUAGAUACCCCAGUAGUC
rnacentral:rRNA from 1 species